CACGUAGGGGGCGAGCGUUGUCCGGAUUUAUUGGGCGUAAAGAGCUCGUAGGCGGUUUCGUUAGUCGGGUGUGAAAACUCUAGGCUCAACCUGGAGACGCCACCCGAUACUGCGAUGACUAGAGUCCGGUAGGGGAGACUGGAAUUCCUGGUGUAGCGGUGAAAUGCGCAGAUAUCAGGAGGAACACCGGUGGCGAAGGCGGGUCUCUGGGCCGAAACUGACGCUGAGGAGCGAAAGCGUGGGGAGCGAACAGG
rnacentral:rRNA from 1 species